ACAGAGGGGGCCGAAAAUCUUUAAAAGAGUAGGGA
rnacentral:ncRNA from 1 species